rnacentral:rRNA from 1 species
UACAGAGGGUGCGAGCGUUAAUCGGAAUUACUGGGCGUAAAGCGCACGUAGGCGGCUUGGCCUGUCGGGUGUGAAAUCCCCGGGCUCAACCUGGGAACUGCAUCCGAAACUGCCUUGCUAGAGUAUGGGAGAGGGAAGUGGAAUUUCCGGUGUAGCGGUGAAAUGCGUAGAUAUCGGAAGGAACAUCAGUGGCGAAGGCGACUUCCUGGACCAAUACUGACGCUCAGGUGCGAAAGCGUGGGGAGCAAACAGG